rnacentral:rRNA from 1 species
UGCCAGCCGCCGCGGUAAUACGGAGGGUGCAAGCGUUAAUCGGAAUUACUGGGCGUAAAGAGUGCGUAGGCGGCUUUUUAAGUCGGAUGUGAAAGCCCCGGGCUUAACCUGGGAAUUGCAUUCGAUACUGGAAGGCUAGAGUUUGGCAGAGGUUGGCGGAAUUCCCGGUGUAGCGGUGAAAUGCGUAGAUAUCGGGAGGAACAUCAGUGGCGAAGGCGGCUGACUGGGCCAAAACUGACGCUGAGGCACGAAAGCGUGGGGAGCAAACAGGAUUAGAUA